CACGUAGGGUGCGAGCGUUGUCCGGAAUUAUUGGGCGUAAAGAGCUCGUAGGCGGUGUGUCGCGUCGGCCGUGAAAACCCGCAGCUCAACUGUGGGCUUGCAGCUGAUACGGGCGGGCUGGAGUUCGGUAGGGGAGACUGGAAUUCCUGGUGUAGCGGUGAAAUGCGCAGAUAUCAGGAGGAACACCGGUGGCGAAGGCGCUGCUCUGGGCCGAAACUGACGCUGAGGAGCGAAAGCGUGGGUAGCAAACAGG
rnacentral:rRNA from 1 species